AAACCAGCACCUCAAGUGGUCAGGAUGAUUAUUGGGCCUAAAGCAUCCGUAGCCUGCUCUGUAAGUUUUCGGUUAAAUCUGUACGCUUAACGUACAGGCUGCCGGGAAUACUGCAGAGCUAGGGAGUGGGAGAGGUAGACGGUACUCGGGAGGAAGUGGUAAAAUGCUUUGAUCUCUCGAUGACCACCUGUGGCGAAGGCGGUCUACCAGAACACGUCCGACGGUGAGGGAUGAAAGCUGGGGGAGCAAACCGGAUUAGAUACCCCAGUAGUCC
rnacentral:rRNA from 1 species